GACGAACGCUGGCGGCGUGCUUAACACAUGCAAGUCGAACGAUGAAGCCAGCUUUCUGGUGGUUUAGUGGCGAACGGGUGGGUAACACGUGGGUGAUCUGCCCCCAACUUUGGGAUAAGCCUGGGAAACUGGGUCUAAUACCGACUAUGACUGAUACCCGCAUGGGUGUUGGUGGAAAGAUCCGGCGGUUUGGGAUGGGCCCGCGGCCUAUCAGCUUGUUGGUGGGGUGAUGGCAUACCAAGGCGACGACGGGUAGCCGGCCUGAGAGGGCGACCGGCCACGCUGGGACGGGGAUACGGCACAGACUCCUACGGGAGGCAGCGGUGGAGAAUAUUGCACAAUGGGCGGAAGCCUGAUGCAGCGACGCCGCGUGGGGGAUGACGGCCUUCGGGUUGUAAACCUCUUUCACCUGGGACGAAGCGAAAGUGACGGUACCUGGAGAAGAAGCAACGGCCAACUACGUG
rnacentral:rRNA from 1 species